rnacentral:rRNA from 1 species
AGGCAGAUUCAUUUUCUGCCACCGAAUACAUUAGCAUGGGAUAAUGGAAUAGGACCCUGUCCUCCUAUUUUCAGUUGGUUUUGGCAGCGCGAGGACUAGGGUAAUGAUUAAUAGGGAUAGUUGGGGGCAUUAAUAUUUAAUUGUCAGAGGUGAAAUUCUUGGAUUUAUGAAAGAUUAACUUCUGCGAAAGCAUCUGCCAAGGAUGUUUUCAUUAAUCAAGAACGAAAGUUAGGGGAUCGAAGACGAUCAGAUACCGUCGUAGUCUUAACCAUAAACGAUGCCGACCAGCGAUUAGGAGACGUUGAAUACAAAACACCACCAUCGGCGCGGUCGUCCUUGGCGCGUUCGUGUUCACGCACGGGCGCGCGAGGGCGGUUUAGCCCGGUGGCACCGGUGAAUGACUCC